UCGCCCUUCGGGGCAUACGUGUUAUGAAAAUAUACAGAGAAGAUUAGCAUGGCCCCUGCACUAAGGAUGACAUGACUCAAUCAAAGAGAAGCUACCUAUUUUU
rnacentral:snRNA from 1 species